rnacentral:rRNA from 1 species
UACGAAGGGGGCUAGCGUUGUUCGGAAUCACUGGGCGUAAAGGGCGCGUAGGCGGCUUUGUAAGUCGGGGGUGAAAGCCUGUGGCUCAACCACAGAAUUGCCUUCGAUACUGCAUGGCUUGAGACCGGAAGAGGUAAGUGGAACUGCGAGUGUAGAGGUGAAAUUCGUAGAUAUUCGCAAGAACACCAGUGGCGAAGGCGGCUUACUGGUCCGGUUCUGACGCG